AGGCUCGCCCAGGCCCGGCCGCCGGCCCGCGCGCACCUGCAGACGCUGCACGUCUUAAGUUUCGAAACGGCCCCCCUCUCCGCCCUGGGGGAGCCGGGAGGAUGUGCAGCCCCAGUCCUCCUGCUCGGCGGAGCCUCGCGCGCGCAGAGCCUAGCGCGAUUCGCGCCCUCAUUACUACUACAAAGCGCGGGCCAGACCAAUCCCCUUUCUAAUGCACCAUUUUCGACUGAGAACAUCAAGAGGCCAGAAACUUCCAAGUCAGCUUGCAGACGCAGACGCCUCCUGGGGUCCUGGCUUUAAGAACCAGAUGCCAACACUCCCGGACAGUUUAUGGCAUCCGGAUCCCUCAAGGGUGCUCAUCUGCAGUUGAGAGUGAUUCUGUGUGAAGAAUACAGAGACAGACGUUCCAUUUCAAAGAAAAAAGAGCAACACGAAGGCCCUCUUUAAGGAGAGAGUAAACAUUCACUUUAGGUAAAAAAUAGUCUUUUACACGCCUGUGCACGGCACACCUCUUUUGCUGUUCACCUUGAGCCCAAGAGUUUGGAAAGGCUGCCCCCAUUUCAGAGAGGAAGAAACGCAGGCACACGUGAAUGACAGACUCCUCUGUGGUGGCCUAGACUCCAGCCAACACUUCCUAGGACAGCCUGCCAUUGUGCAAAGUCACCAUGUAACAAAUGCAGACAUCUCUGAGAUCACCAUGCAGUGAGGAAGUCUAAGCUGGUGGCAUGAAGAGGCCACAUGGAAAGGGCUAAAAAAGGGGCCAGCCUCAGUCAUCCCAGCUGAGCACCUGGCUGGGAAUAAAAGAGGACUCCGUGGAUGUCCAGCCCAGUAAGAUGACCUCAGCCCCAGCCACCAACUGACCAAGCACACAAGACAUCGUGAGGCUGCCUGCUGGAGCCUGGCCAGUGGGACUGUAGAGUAACUCAUUGUCGUGCAGGAACUCCUGGGAUGGUGUUGCCCAGUGACACAAUCCCAGUGUGGCCAUUUCUGAUCCCGAGAAAGCAGUCAGGAGUGGGUGGAUGCAGUUACAGUUCAUCAAGUCCUGCUAGUUCAAGUCAUGAGUCCUGAAUUCUCCAGGAGGAGCCACUAAAGAAAUGCAGAAGCAGGCAAUCCUUGCAAUAAGGCCAGCAAACUGCCAGUGUGAAGGAUGCCCAGGUAACCUGCCCAUGCCAGAACGGCCAGGAGAUGGUGGAACCAGAAUCUAAGCCCACGCCCAUCUGACCUCAAAGUCUGUGCUCCUGAGGUUCGCACCGAGUUGCCUCCUAAGACUUGCUGAAACUGGAUCACGUCCAUUUACCCAUCUCUGAGAGAAAUGCAAGCUUUAAAAAAGGAAAUAUUUACUAUGGAUAUUUUACAAUAGUUCCAAAACAUGAAAGUUUUAAAUAAGAUAUUCUUAACCAUCCUCACCACAUCUUCAGGUUCCCUUACAGCCACUGUGUUUUGACGAUUGCCCAUUAGAAAAAAAGACUAUGCUUUCUGUAGGUUUUAAAGGAAUGGUGGUGAAAUAAGGAGCAUUCCCUGAGCAGAUCUUGCCUGCGGGCACACCUCUGAGCAUUGGACCAGGCGAGAAGAGCCCAUGUGUUGGCUGCUUUGGGAUCCCAGCACUGCCAAUGGCAGGUGGGCUGUGGCCCAGGGAGAGAACCUAGCCUUUUGCAUUCUCUUGCCCCAUUUGAAAAUGGAGACGAUAGUGGCGCCCCGCUCAGUGUUAUUUUGAGGAUUUGAAUGUAUCUCAGAUGUAGUACCUGGAAAAAUAUAAGUGCUCAGUAAAUACGGUUGCCAGAUAAAAUGCAGGAAACCUAUUUAAAUUUAAGUUUUGGCUGGACAAUGAAUAGAAUAAUUUUUCUUAGUAUGAGUAUGUCCUUAUAUUUCAUCUGCUAAAUUUAGCAACCUCCUCAGUAAACGAUCACUACAAUUGCAGAAACGCCUUAUGACAGAUAUAGUAAAUCUGUAAAGAAAUAGGAACUUGCAUUUAUUUUUACUAAGCUCUGACUGGUUAAGAUAACUGGGCAAGAGAAGAUAUCUUCGACUAAACUUGCAGCACAUAGAGUAUAGAGAUUCAAAUUUGAAGUCCUAUAGGACUAGAAUGGCCAGAGGUGAACUGUAGCGAGCUUAUCUAAAGAGGACCAAUUUCAAAAGUUCCUCAGAGACUUAAAUGGGCCCACAGACCCCUCCUGUGUCUUUGCAUAAGCCAGCUCGUUAUAUCAGUUAUAAGUUGAUUUCCAGAGAAAUGUACCCUGGAGAUCCCUCUCCCACUUGAAAUAGGACUGGCCAAUCCAGAUGUCCCCCAGGUGAUGUUGGCUCAAAUGGAGCUCCAUAUAUUGGAGAAUCUAUUCAAGAAAACAAGCAAAAGUAUUUGUGACUGAGUUAGCUAAUGCCAGCUGGUAUCUUGAACAAACCCAGAUCUCUAACAUGCUAGUUUAUUUCGUAGUGUAAAAUGUGUGUUACUGAUGGGCAGACAGCUCUCAUUCAAGCAGUGACAGAUGUAAGCUCUUCCCAUUUUUGUGGCCCCAUUGUAUUCGGCGUGUGGCUUCCAAGUUGCCUGGGAUCAUCUCCACCCAGACUAAGGAAGAGGAAAGAGCUUGGACAACUGCACUUGGCUGGUUUUUAUGGAUCAGGCAAGGAAUUGGCUCCAACACAUUAGCUCACAUUCCAUUGGUUAGAACUGGGUUUCUCAACUAUUAGUACAGGGUGAGUGUAGGGUUUUGGCACCAUGGGCAUUUGAGCUGGCCAAAGGCUAAUCAGAGUUAGAACAAAGCCACAAAGCCUGUGAAUGGUGUUUAUUGUUGUGAGGAGCUGUCUUGUGCAUUGUGGAAUGUUCAGCAGGAUGCUCUCUGGCCUCAGAGACUCACUAGAUUCCCAUAGAACUCUCCUCUCUCCUCUAGUUGUGACAACCACAGUUGCCUCCUCUCCAGACAUUGCUAGAUGUCCCCGGGAGGCAAAAUUGUCCUGGUUGAGAACCACUGUGUUAGAACUCGGUCACAUGGCCAUACCUAACUGCAAGGGAGGGGGCUGGAAGAUCUAGACGAGUAGUAUGCCAGGAAGAAAAUAGAACUGAUUUAGAGGCUGCUGGCCAGUCACUUUCAGUGACCUUCAGCAUACUUAUUCCUCUGCAGCUGUCAGGACACUCAUGCCUGUUUCUGAGAUGUUUCCUGUGUGAGGGGACAUAGUGACUAUUGGAGGGGUGACAUGUUGGACUUGGGUAGGGUGAAGAGGAUUGGAAACCACCAUCAUGUUUGGCAGCAUUGAAUGUUUAUGACUAUUUGAAUAGUUGUGACAAGGGUACAGUGAAGGAGGAAGUAACCAUUUUUGAAUACCCUUUUACAAUUUGCAAAGCACUUUUAAAGGUAAGAGUGAGUUCCUAGACCAUAUUAGGGUGAGAAUGGACAUUGUUGGCUGCCAUAUCAUUGGGCAGGGGCUUUGAGAUUUUUGUCUUCAGAAGGCAGAUUAGAUUUGGAGUAGAAGGAGAAAUGUAAAGACCUGGUAUCUGAGUGUGUUUGCAGAGGGGAAUUGUCGUUUGGAAGCACAAGAAAGGGAAUGGCCCGUUGGCACAUAUGGUACAUUGUGUUUUCAUAUAAUUAUACCUGAAUGAAAGCAAGAGGAAACGUGUAGGAAGCUGUUUACAUAGUCCUUUUAAUAAUGUUUACAUGAGUUAAUGAACAUGCAAACGUAUCUGAUGAAAACAUGUCAGUAGUGAAACAGCCUUGUGAAGAAUCAGAUCUUACCUCAGGCUGGAAAAAAGGACUGGUUUUCCAAGCUCACAAAUUGCAGCCAGUGUGAAUAGUAGCACAAAUGACUGAGCUUUAAGACAUCCAUCCAUCCAUCUAUCCAUCCCCUCAUCCAUCCAUCCCCUCAUCCAUCCACCCAUCCAUCCAUCCCUUCAUCCAUCACUCCAUCCAGCCAUCCGUCCCUUCAUCAAUCCAUCCAUCCCUUCAUCCAUCCAUCCAUCCUUCCUUCCAUUCAUCCCUUCAUCCAUCCGUCCAUCCAUCCAUCCAUCCACUCAUUCAUCCCUUCAUCCAUCCAUCCAUCCAUCCUUCCUUCCUUCCAUUCAUCCCUUCAUCCAUCCGUCCAUCCAUCCAUCCACCCAUUCAUCCAUCCAUUCCUUCAUCAACUCAUCCCUUCAUCCAUCGUCUACCAUUCAUUCACCCCUUCAUCCAUCCAUUCAUUUAUCCAUCCGUCCAUUUACUUCCAUCCAUCCCUUUAUCCAUCCAUUCACCCAUUCAUCCCUUUAUCCAUAUGUCCAUUCCUCCAUCCAUCCAUCCAUCCAUUUACUCUUCAUCCCUUCAUCCAUUUUUCCAUCCAUUCAUCCAUUCAUCUUUUCAUCCAUCCAUCCAUUGAUCUAUCCAUCCAUCCAUUGCUCCAUCCAACCAUCCAUCCAUCCCUUCGUCCCUUCAUCCAUCCAUCCAUUCAUCCCAUCAUCCAUUGAUCACUUCAUCCAUCCAUCCUUCCAUCCUUCCAUCCAUUCUUCCAUUCAUCCAUCCAUGUGUUCAGCAAGUAUUUACUGAAUGCCUAUUAUGUGCCAAGCACUCUCCUCAGAACUUAGGAAAUACCAGGAAACAAAAUCAACAACAAUCCCUCACCACCUGGAUAUUACAUUUUGGUGGGAAGAGACAAAGAAAUAAAAUUGGUGAGUGAAUCACAUAGGUUAUUAGAAGGUGAUAAAGGUGUAGGUGAUAAAGGAGAAGUGCCAGGAGCAAGGAUUGGGUACAGUUGUGAAUAAGGUGGCCCCAAUAGGUUGCACUGAGAAGGUGACAUUUGCACAGAGACUUGAAGAAAGGAAGGAGAGAACAUGACUGUACCUGGGUAACAGCAUUUGUGGAAGAGGGAACAGCCAGUGUAAAAGUUCCAAGGCAUGAGUGCCUGGUACAUACAUGGAACAUCGAGGCCAGGGUGGCAGAAACGCGGUGAGUCCAGGAAGGGAAUAGGAACUAAGUGUAGGAAGGUGUACAGUGGGGUGGUGUGGGGGUGGAAUUGUGGCAGCCAGAUGGUGUUGGCCUAAGGCCUCUUGGCCCUUGUUAGGACUUGGUUUACCAUGGCGCAACACAUCCAUGAGAUUGGCAAAAAUUAAAAAGUCUGACAACAGAAAAUCUGGUAAUCUGGUGAGGAUGUGGAGCAGUGGGAAUUCUCCAAUACUGCCAGGGAGCAUGGGCAUCAAUCCCACCACACUGGAAUGCAAAGGGGCAUUCUGAGUAGAACUGAAGAUGUGCCCAUCCUUGACCCCACAGUUCCAGCCAUGGGCAUGCGCAUGAAUGUGCACACGUGUUGACUGCGGCAUUUGUUUGUCAUUAUGAAAACAUCUAAGUUUCCAUCUAUGGGAGAGGGGAUAAUGUGGGAGUGCCCAACAGUGGAGUUCUAGAGAGCAGUAAAAAUAAAUGGACUAGAGCUGCACACGUCAAAAUGGAUGAAGAUAAAAGACAUAAGGAUGGAAGAAGACCACCUGGCCACAGAAGUAUAUGUCCAAUAUGAUGCUGGUGUAUCCAGAGUGUUCAAACAAACAACACAACACUACUCAUUGUUUCCAACGUGAGUAUGAAAGUAUGGAGCAGUGCGGAGGGCCAGGAGUGCUGAAUCCACAUGGUUACUUCUCCAGGCGGGGGCCGAGGACCAGGGCUGGAGGUUUACUCCAGGAGCUUCAGUGGUGCAUGCUGAAUGUGCUGUUUCUUGGGCUGGGGGACAGAGAUGUGCAUGCUGUUAUACACUCUAUAUUGAAAUGAUUGUAUAACAAUAUACUAAUUUAUCAUGUAAUAAAUUUGACCAGAAAGAAACAACUGUUCUGUGGCUGCUUCCAUGACUGGAUUUCACGUUGUAGGUUUCUAAGCAGAGAGUCCAAGGAAAACCAAAGGAGCGGCGGAAGGAUAAGCCUCCCGGGUGUUCUGGGAGUGUCCCUUUGCUUGGG
rnacentral:lncRNA from 1 species